rnacentral:rRNA from 1 species
AAAUUGAAGAGUUUGAUCAUGGCUCAGAUUGAACGCUGGCGGCAGGCCUAACACAUGCAAGUCGAACGGUAGCACAGAGAGCUUGCUCUCGGGUGACGAGUGGCGGACGGGUGAGUAAUGUCUGGGAAACUGCCUGAUGGAGGGGGAUAACUACUGGAAACGGUGGCUAAUACCGCAUAAUGUCGCAAGACCAAAGAGGGGGACCUUCGGGCCUCUUGCCAUCAGAUGUGCCCAGAUGGGAUUAGCUAGUUGGUGAGGUAACGGCUCACCAAGGCGACGAUCCCUAGCUGGUCUGAGAGGAUGACCAGCCACACUGGAACUGAGACACGGUCCAGACUCCUACGGGAGGCAGCAGUGGGGAAUAUUGCACAAUGGGCGCAAGCCUGAUGCAGCCAUGCCGCGUGUAUGAAGAAGGCCUUCGGGUUGUAAAGUACUUUCAGCGGGGAGGAAGGUGUUGUGGUUAAUAACCUCAGCAAUUGACGUUACCCGCAGAAGAAGCACCGGCUAACUCCGUGCCAGCAGCCGCGGUAAUACGGAGGGUGCAAGCGUUAAUCGGAAUUACUGGGCGUAAAGCGCACGCAGGCGGUCUGUCAAGUCGGAUGUGAAAUCCCCGGGCUCAACCUGGGAACUGCAUUCGAAACUGGCAGGCUUGAGUCUUGUAGAGGGGGGUAG